AUUGAACGCUGGCGGCAGGCCUAACGCAUGCAAGUCGAGCGGUAGCACAAGGGAGCUUGCUCCCUGGGUGACGAGCGGCGGACGGGUGAGUAGUGUCUGGGAAACUGCCUGAUGGAGGGGGAUAACUACUGGAAACGGUAGCUAAUACCGCAUAACGUCGCAAGACCAAAGAGGGGGACCUUCGGGCCUCUUGCCAUCGGAUGUGCCCAGAUGGGAUUAGCUAGUAGGUGGGGUAAAGGCUCACCUAGGCGACGAUCCCUAGCUGGUCUGAGAGGAUGACCAGCCACACUGGAACUGAGACACGGUCCAGACUCCUACGGGAGGCAGCAGUGGGGAAUAUUGCACAAUGGGCGCAAGCCUGAUGCAGCCAUGCCGCGUGUGUGAAGAAGGCCUUCGGGUUGUAAAGCACUUUCAGCGGGGAGGAAGGGAGCAGACUUAAUACGUCUGUUCAUUGACGUUACCCGCAGAAGAAGCACCGGCUAACUCCGUGCCAGCAGCCGCCGUAAAAC
rnacentral:rRNA from 1 species